rnacentral:rRNA from 1 species
GACGAACGCUGGCGGCGUGCUUAACACAUGCAAGUCGAACGGUGAAGCGCCUUCCUUUUUGGUGGGUGUGGAUGAGUGGCGAACGGGUGAGUAACACGUGAGUAACCUGCCCCCUUCUUCUGGAUAACCGCAUGAAAGUGUGGCUAAUACGGGAUAUUCUGGGUCUGUCGCAUGAUGGGUCUGGGAAAGAUAUUGUUUCGGUGGGGGAUGGGCUCGCGGCCUAUCAGCUUGUUGGUGGGGUGAUGGCCUACCAAGGCGGUGACGGGUAGCCGGCCUGAGAGGGUGGACGGUCACACUGGGACUGAGACACGGCCCAGACUCCUACGGGAGGCAGCAGUGGGGAAUAUUGCACAAUGGGCGCAAGCCUGAUGCAGCGACGCCGCGUGAGGGAUGGAGGCCUUCGGGUUGUGAACCUCUUUCGCCAGUGAAGCAGGCCUGCCUCGUUUGUGGGUGGGUUGACGGUAGGUGGAUAAGAAGCGCCGGCUAACUACGUG